CAUGUCAUGUCUAAGUAUAAACAUCUUUAUACUGUGAAACUGCGAACGGCUCAUUAUAUCAGUGAUUAUUUCUUUGAUGGUACUUCACUACAUGGAUAACUGUAGUAAUUCUAGAGCUAAUACAUGCGUAAAAGCGCGACUUUCGGGAAGCGCUGUAUUUAUUAGAUACAAAACCAAUGCCCUUCGGGGCUCUCUUGGUGAUUCAUGAUAACUUCUCGAAUCGCACGGCCCCGCGCCGGCGAUGGUUCAUUCAAAUUUCUUCCCUAUCAACUUUCGAUGCUACGGUAUUGUCCUAGCAUGGUUGCAACGGGUGACGGAGGGUUAGGGCUCGACCCCGGAGAAGGAGCCUGAGAAACGGCUACUACAUCCAAGGAAGGCAGCAGGCGCGCAAAUUACCCAAUCCCGACUCGGGGAGGUAGUGACGAUAAAUACCGAUACAGGGCUCUUUUGGGUCCUGUAAUUGGAAUGAGUACAAUUCAAAUCCCUUAACGAGGAACAAUUGGAGGGCAAGUCUGGUGCCAGCAGCCGCGGUAAUUCCAGCUCCAAUAGCGUAUAUUAAAGUUGUUGUGGUUAAAAAGCUCGUAGUAGAAGCUCGGGCUCCGGCCGACCGGUCCGCCUCACCGCGUGCACUGGUUCGGCCGGGCCUUCACCUUCUGCGGAACCGCAUCCCCUUCACUGGGGGUGUCGGGGAAACAGGACGUUUACUGUGAAAAAAUUAGAGUGCUCCAGGCAGGCCUAUGCUCGAAUAGAUUAGCAUGGAAUAAUGGAAUAGGACGUGUGGUCUUAUUUCGUUGGUUUCUAGGACCGCCGUAAUGAUUAAUAGGGACAGUCGGGGGCAUCAGUAUUCAAUCGUCAGAGGUGAAAUUCUUGGAUCGAUUGAAGACUAACUACUGCGAAAGCAUUUGCCAAGGAUGUUUUCAUUAAUCAAGAACGAAAGUUAGGGGAUCGAAGACGAUCAGAUACCGUCGUAGUCUUAACCAUAAACUAUGCCGACUAGGGAUCAGACAAGGAUAUUUUGACUUGUUCGGCACCUUAUGAGAAAUCAAAGUUUUUGGGUUCCGGGGGGAGUAUGGUCGCAAGGCUGAAACUUAUUAAAAGGAA
rnacentral:rRNA from 1 species